UGCGGGGCUCACUCGGCUGCAGCCGGCGCCGCUGCCACUCCCGGGAGCAUGAAGGACCGAACCCAGGAGCUCCGCACGGCCAAGGACAGCGAUGACGAUGACGAUGUCACUGUCACUGUGGACCGAGACCGCUUCAUGGAUGAGUUCUUCGAGCAGGUGGAGGAAAUCCGGGGCUUCAUUGACAAGAUUGCAGAGAACGUGGACGAGGUGAAACGGAAGCACAGUGCUAUCCUGGCCUCCCCCAACCCCGAUGAGAAGACGAAAGAGGAGCUGGAAGAACUCAUGACAGAUAUAAAGAAGACCGCCAACAAAGUUCGUUCCAAGUUAAAGAGCAUAGAGCAGAGCAUCGAGCAGGAGGAGGGCCUGAACCGCUCGUCCGCAGACCUGAGGAUCCGGAAGACACAGCACUCCACACUGUCCCGGAAGUUUGUGGAGGUCAUGUCCGAGUACAACGCCACGCAGUCCGACUACCGCGAGCGCUGCAAGGGCCGCAUCCAGAGGCAGCUGGAGAUCACCGGCAGGACCACGACCAGUGAGGAGUUGGAGGACAUGCUGGAGAGUGGGAACCCUGCCAUCUUUGCCUCUGGGAUCAUCAUGGACUCCAGCAUCUCGAAGCAGGCGCUGAGCGAGAUUGAGACCCGGCAUAGUGAGAUCAUCAAACUGGAGAACAGCAUCCGGGAGCUACACGACAUGUUCACGGAUAUGGCCAUGCUUGUGGAGAGCCAGGGUGCUGUCCAGGAGACCCUGCCCUGAGCCCCUCCCGAACUCAACCCUAACCCUGAGGGAUAAGCCCUGGAGCCCUGGUGCCCCGGCCCUGCAGGGGGAAAUGAUCGACAGGAUUGAGUACAAUGUGGAGCACGCCGUGGAUUAUGUAGAGAGGGCCGUGUCUGACACCAAGAAAGCCGUCAAGUACCAGAGCAAAGCACGCCGGAAGAAGAUCGUGAUUAUCAUCUGCUGUGUGAUUUUGGGCAUCGUCAUUGCCUCCACCUUUGGAGGCAUCUUUGGAUAGAGGCCACCUGCCUGCCACUCCACCUUGGAUGGGUCACCCUGAGAAGGCACCCCUGGCCCCCGGUUGCCACCGCCUGGCUGGGUUGCUCUCCCUACCCCUGCCUUCUGGCUCCGAGCACCCUCCCUCCCACCCCACACUGCUCCUCUCUGCCGUGGGCCCAUGUCCCCACCCUGCCCUGAGCCGUGUCGUGUGCAUGAUUUUGUGACAGUGUGUGUCUGUGCAGAGGAGGCAGCGGGGAAAAGGGCCGGAAACAGCCAGGGGACCUGGGGGUGACUUCCAUGCAGGGAGGGCUCAGGCCCCCAGCCCGGGCUGCCCCACCCUGACCAGGAAGGGCUGUUCGGGUAGCAAACGCUAUCCUUCCAGGCUUGGGGUCCACCGUGCCCUGGCACCCAGGCUCUCUCUGGAUCCCAACAUCACCUCCGUUGACCUGCCCUUUAGCCUCCCCAGCUGUCCCCCCAGCCGAGCCCUCUGAAGGGCAGGACUCGGCUAGCCACCUGGUGCUGCUUUUCAGGCUGGGGAGGGGUGGCUCUGAGGGACAGCCCCAGCAGCAAGCCUCUGUUAGCUGAGCACUGCCAGGGCUGUGGCUGCUGGGCUGUCAGAACAAGACCUCUUUCCCCACCUGAGGUAAAGCCAUGGUCUCCCUCCCUACAGCCCCAGGACCAACCCCUCUGGGCGAGCCUGAGCCCAUGAGAUCAUCUGAAAGAGGCUGCAUGGUGCCCAGGCUGCAGCCAGGCCUCUGCCCGGGGAAGGCUGUAGCCUGGGCCAGUGUCCCUGACAAGGCCUCGGCUGGGUCUGCAGGACACUGCUCCCAGGUGCACUCCAGGCCUGCAGGCUCCCCGCACCCUUGCUGUCUAUGUUGAUGUACCACAUGGUGUCAGGUGUCCCGGAUGCAGUAUUCAGCAGCCAGCCAGGGAGGGC